rnacentral:tRNA from 1 species
AUUGGCGUGGCCGAGUGGUUAAGGCGAUUAACAAGAAAUCUUUUGGGAUCUUUCCGCGCAGGUUCGAAUCCUGCCGACAUCG